AGGACGAACGCUGGCGGCGUGCUUAACACAUGCAAGUCGAGCGGAAAGGCCUUUCGGGGUACUCGAGCGGCGAACGGGUGAGUAACACGUGAGUAAUCUGCCCAUCGCUUCAGGAUAGCCAUCGGAAACGGUGAUUAAUACUGGAUAUGACAUUCCUUCGCAUGUUGGGGUGUGGUAAAGUUUUUUCGGCGGUUGGAUGUGCGUCGCGGCCUAUCAGCUUGUUGGUGGGGUAAUCGGCCUACCGAAGGUCUUUGGACGGG
rnacentral:rRNA from 1 species